rnacentral:misc_RNA from 1 species
GAAAUGCGAUAAGUAGUGUGAAUUGCAGAAUUCAGUGAAUCAUCGAAUCUUUGAACGCACAUUGCGCCCCUUGGUAUUCCAUGGGGCAUGCCUGUUCGUGCGUCAUCUACACCCUCAAGCUCUGCUUGGUGUUGGGCGUCUUUGUCCCGCCUCCGCGCGCGGACUCGCCCCAAAUUCAUUGGCAGCGGUCCUUGCCUCCUCUCGCGCAGCACAUUGCGCUUCUCGAGGUGUUGCGGCCCGCGUCCAGAAAGCAAUCGUUACCGUCUUUGACCUCGGAUCAGGUAGGGAUACCCGCUGAACUUAAGC